UACGAAGGGGGCUAGCGUUGCUCGGAAUCACGGGGCGUAAAGCGCACGUAGGCGGGUUGUUAAGUCGGGGGUGAAAUCCUGGAGCUCAACUCCAGAACUGCCUUCGAUACUGGCGACCUUGAGUCCGGGAGAGGUGAGUGGAACUCCGAGUGUAGAGGUGAAAUUCGUAGAUAUUCGGAAGAACACCAGUGGCGAAGGCGGCUCACUGGCCCGGUACUGACGCUGAGGUGCGAAAGCGUGGGGAGCAAACAGG
rnacentral:rRNA from 1 species